rnacentral:rRNA from 1 species
CCUACGGGUGGCAGCAGUGAGGAAUAUUGGUCAAUGGUCGAAAGACUGAACCAGCCAUGCCGCGUGCAGGACAGACGGCCCUAGAGGUUGUAAACUGCUUUUAUAUGGGAAGAAUAAGGAGUACGUGUACUUUGAUGACGGUACCAUAUGAAUAAGCAUCGGCUAACUCCGUGCCAGCAGCCGCGGUAAUACGGAGGAUGCGAGCGUUAUUCGGAAUCAUUGGGUUUAAAGGGUCUGUAGGCGGGCUAUUAAGUCAGGGGUGAAAGGUUUCAGCUUAACUGAGAAAUUGCCUUUGAUACUGGUAGUCUUGAAUAUCUGUGAAGUUCUUGGAAUGUGUAGUGUAGCGGUGAAAUGCUUAGAUAUUACACAGAACACCGAUUGCGGAGGCAGGGGACUAACAGAUGAUUGACGCUGAGAGACGAAAGCGUGGGGAGCGAACAGGAUUAGAUACCCCUGUAGUC